rnacentral:lncRNA from 1 species
GGCCCUUUUCCUUAUAUUACUUGAAGUAGCUGUUGGCAGGUUUCUAGAGAUUGAACCUAAUCACCAAGAAAGAUCAAGAACCCUUUUUGAUCUUUUUCUUUCUUUCUAAUACCUCCCUUUUCUCUUAGAUCUGAUCUAGAGGAGGGAGAUAUGGAGUGUGGAAGGGAGGGAACAAGGAGGGAAGAGGGCAUGGAACAUAGGCUUGUGAGAAGAAAGAAAAAAAAC